CAGCCGCCGCGGGAAUACGAAGGGGGCUAGCGUUGCUCGGAAUUACUGGGCGUAAAGGGAGCGUAGGCGGAUCGUUAAGUUGGGGGUGAAAGCCCGGGGCUCAACCUCGGAACUGCCUUCAAUACUGGCGAUCUUGAGUAUGAGAGAGGUGUGUGGAACUCCGAGUGUAGAGGUGAAAUUCGUAGAUAUUCGGAAGAACACCAGUGGCGAAGGCGACACACUGGCUCAUUACUGACGCUGGGGCUCGAAAGCGUGGGGAGCAAACAGGAUUAGAUACCCCAGUAGUCCCUGUCUCUUAUAC
rnacentral:rRNA from 1 species